AUUGAACGCUGGCGGCAGGCUUAACACAUGCAAGUCGAGCGGGGUGAGGUGCUUCGGUACUGAUCCUAGCGGCGGACGGGUGAGUAAUGCUUAGGAAUCUGCCAUUUAGUGGGGGACGACAUUCCGAAAGGGAUGCUAAUACCGCAUACGUCCUACGGGAGAAAGCAGGGGAUCUUCGGACCUUGCGCUAAAUGAUGAGCCUAAGUCGGAUUAGCUAGUUGGUGGGGUAAAGGCCUACCAAGGCGACGAUCUGUAGCGGGUCUGAGAGGAUGAUCCGCCACACUGGGACUGAGACACGGCCCAGACUCCUACGGGAGGCAGCAGUGGGGAAUAUUGGACAAUGGGCGGAAGCCUGAUCCAGCCAUGCCGCGUGUGUGAAGAGGGCCUUUUGGUUGCAAAGCACUUUAAGCGAGGAGGAGGCUACCUAGAUUAAUACUCUGGGAUAGUGGACGUUACUCGCAGAAUAAGCACCGGCUAACUCUGUGCCAGCAGCCGCCGUAACAC
rnacentral:rRNA from 1 species